rnacentral:rRNA from 1 species
GACGAACCGUGCGAACGUUGUUCGGAAUCACUGGGCUUAAAGGGCGCGUAGGCGGCCGAUCGCGUCCGGGGUGAAAGCUUCCGGCUCAACCGGAACAGUGCCCCGGGUACGGACCGGCUGGAGGGAGGUAGGGGCAGGUGGAACUUCCGGUGGAGCGGUGAAAUGCGUUGAGAUCGGAAGGAACGCCGGUGGCGAAAGCGACCUGCUGGACCUUUUCUGACGCUGAGGCGCGAAAGCUAGGGGAGCGAACGGG